rnacentral:misc_RNA from 1 species
GCAAACUUGGUCAUUUAGAGGAAGUAAAAGUCGUAACAAGGUUUCCGUAGGUGAACCUGCGGAAGGAUCAUUAGAGAAACAUGAGCAUACAUGAACUCGCAUUUGGCGCGCAUUGGCAACAGGCCAAUGCAGAGCCAACUGUGGUCCUUUUUGGACUGAAAACCAAAAUCUUGAACUCAUACCUAACCAUCCAUGUAACACAUGAGAACCUUGCCGCAAUGGAUCUCUCGGCUCUUGCAUCGAUGAAGAACGCAGC